AUUGAACGCUGGCGGCAUGCCUUACACAUGCAAGUCGAACGGCAGCACGGGUGCUUGCACCUGGUGGCGAGUGGCGAACGGGUGAGUAAUACAUCGGAACAUGUCCUGUGGUGGGGGAUAGCCCGGCGAAAGCCGGAUUAAUACCGCAUACGAUCCACGGAUGAAAGCGGGGGACCUUCGGGCCUCGCGCUAUAGGGUUGGCCGAUGGCUGAUUAGCUAGUUGGUGGGGUAAAGGCCUACCAAGGCGACGAUCAGUAGCUGGUCUGAGAGGACGACCAGCCACACUGGGACUGAGACACGGCCCAGACUCCUACGGGAGGCAGCAGUGGGGAAUUUUGGACAAUGGGCGAAAGCCUGAUCCAGCAAUGCCGCGUGUGUGAAGAAGGCCUUCGGGUUGUAAAGCACUUUUGUCCGGAAAGAAAUCCUUGACUCUAAUACAGUCGGGGGAUGACGGUACCGGAAGAAUAAGCACCGGCUAACUACGUG
rnacentral:rRNA from 1 species